GUUGGUGAGGUAAAGGCUUACCAAGGCGACGAUCAGUAGCUGGUCUGAGAGGACGACCAGCCACACUGGGACUGAGACACGGCCCAGACUCCUACGGGAGGCAGCAGUGGGGAAUUUUGGACAAUGGGCGCAAGCCUGAUCCAGCCAUGCCGCGUGAGUGAAGAAGGCCUUCGGGUUGUAAAGCUCUUUCAGUCGAGAAGAAAAGGUUGUGACUAAUAAUUGCAACUCAUGACGGUAUCGACAGAAGAAGCACCGGCUAACUACGUGCCAGCAGCCGCGGUAAUACGUAGGGUG
rnacentral:rRNA from 1 species